GAUGAACGCUAGCGGGAGGCCUAACACAUGCAAGCCGAGCGGUAGAGAUCUUUCGGGAUCUUGAGAGCGGCGUACGGGUGCGGAACACGUGUGCAACCUGCCUUUAUCAGGGGGAUAGCCUUUCGAAAGGAAGAUUAAUACCCCAUAAUAUAUUGAAUGGCAUCAUUUGAUAUUGAAAACUCCGGUGGAUAGAGAUGGGCACGCGCAAGAUUAGAUAGUUGGUAGGGUAACGGCCUACCAAGUCAGUGAUCUUUAGGGGGCCUGAGAGGGUGAUCCCCCACACUGGUACUGAGACACGGACCAGACUCCUACGGGAGGCAGCAGUGAGGAAUAUUGGACAAUGGGUGAGAGCCUGAUCCAGCCAGCCCGCGUGAAGGACGACGGCCCUAUGGGUUGUAAACUUCUUUUGUAUAGGGAUAAACCUUUCCACGUGUGGAAAGCUGAAGGUACUAUACGAAUAAGCACCGGCUAACUCCGUG
rnacentral:rRNA from 1 species